rnacentral:snoRNA from 1 species
UCAAAUGAUGCGGUAAUUUGCGAUUGACCCGGUGUCUGUGGAUCUCCCGCCAGAGAUCUAUACAGCAUUGGCGUAUGAUAUUCAUUUCUUACAUAUUCUGAAC